rnacentral:rRNA from 1 species
GACGAACGCUGGCGGCGUGCUUAACACAUGCAAGUCGAACGGUGAAGGGGUCUGCUUUUGUGGGCCCUGGAUGAGUGGCGAACGGGUGAGUAACACGUGAGUAACCUGCCCCCUUCUUCUGGAUAACCGCAUGAAAGUGUGGCUAAAACGGGAUAUUCUGGGUCUGUCGCAUGAUGGGUCUGGGAAAGAUUGCGCCUUUGGGUGUUUUUGGUGGGGGAUGGGCUCGCGGCCUAUCAGCUUGUUGGUGGGGUGAUGGCCUACCAAGGCGGUGACGGGUAGCCGGCCUGAGAGGGUGGACGGUCACACUGGGACUGAGACACGGCCCAGACUCGUACGGGAGGCAGCAGUGGGGAAGAUUGCACAAUGGGCGCAAGCCUGAUGCAGCGACGCCGCGUGAGGGAUGGAGGCCUUCGGGUUGUAAACCUCUUUCGCCAGUGAAGCAGGCCUGCUCCUUGUGGGUGGGUUGACGGUAGCUGGAUAAGAAGCGCCGGCUAACUACGU